rnacentral:tRNA from 2 species
GCGGAAGUAGCUCAGCGGUAGAGCAUCGCCUUGCCAAGGCGAGGGUCGCGGGUUCGAUUCCCGUCUUCCGCUCCA